rnacentral:rRNA from 1 species
CAAUAGCGUAUAUUAAAGUUGUUGCAGUUAAAAAGCUCGUAGUUGGAUUUGUGGCGUACGGUGUGUUCCGGGCACUUGUUGUCUGAGUAACCUGCUGUUGCCAUCCUUGGGUGGAACCUGUGUGGCAUUAGGUUGUCGUGCAGGGGAUGCCCAUCAUUUACUGUGAAAAAAUUAGAGUGUUCAAAGCAGGCUUAUGCCGUUGAAUAUAUGAGCAUGGAAUAAUGAGAUAGGACUUUUUUGCUAUUUUGUUGGUUUGCGCAAAGAGGUAAUGAUUAAUAGGGACAGUUGGGGGUAUUCGUAUUCCAUUGUCAGAGGUGAAAUUCUUGGAUUUUUGGAAGACGAACUACUGCGAAAGCAUUUACCAAGGAUGUUUUCAUUAA